UGCACAAAGGUGCCUGCAGUCUCUGCGGGAGAAUAGGAAAGCUGAGUGAAAAGCUCACACGGUCACGCCGCUGUAAGGGUGGAACCGUAUUUCUGAAAAGAUUUCAACAAUCUGCGCCACUGGGAAUCUUCCUGGGAAGGCUGAAAUACGGUGAUGAUGCCUGAGUCAGAAGACCUGCCUUGUGCAC
rnacentral:ncRNA from 1 species